rnacentral:rRNA from 1 species
CCCUUAGAUGUUCGGGGCCGCACGCGCGCUACACUGAAGGAAUCAGCACGUCUUUCUCCUUGUCUGAAAGGACUGGGUAACCCGCUGAACCUCCUUCGUGCUAGGGAUUGGGGCUUGUAAUUCUUCCCCAUGAACGAGGAAUUCCCAGUAAGCGCGAGUCAUAAGCUCGCGUUGAUUACGUCCCUGCCCUUUGUACACACCGCCCGUCGCUACUACCGAUUGGAUGGUUUAGUGAGAUCCUCGGAUUGGUCCCGGAGCGGCCUCUGGUCGUGCCGGAGUGCCGAAAAGAAUGUCGAACUUGAUCAUCUAGAGGAAGUAAAAGUCGUAACA